CCGCCGACGGCAGAAGCGACGCCCCCGACCCCUCCCUCUGGUGUUCAGGAUCCAACAUCCCCCCUCCAGCGACGGCGACGGACCGCGGCCGUCAUUGUCCUCCUUCCCCGGAUCUCCCCUCCACCUCGAAGCUCCGACCCCCUUCGGCGACCACGACGGCGACGGUUUUGUGGUUGUUUUCUACCUCCUCUGGUCAAGGAAGUGAGCACCGCCUCGUUCUCUCAGAUCAUUCCCACCAUUGUUAAUCACCGGUUUCCUAAAGCUAACCAAUGAAAAUGUCCAAAGAAGUUGAUGGUGGAAGUUUCAGUAGAGUGAUUAUUCCAAUGACAACACAUUUCCCCAUGGAUCAGUCACAUAUGCACAUCUUUUUAAUGGAACUAUAUGUGUUGUUCCCCUCCUUGGAGGCGUCGGUAUGGACUGAUCCCCUCACUUCCCCUGCCCCUAGGUCUCCCGGGCGAAAGCCCUAACUUUGUUGGGCGGCGGCGGUGCUCUUGGCGCCGUUCUCUUCUUGAAGGCGCCGCUUUGUGAGGCUUGUGGUCGGGUGGCGCUUGUACGUGGUGGGUGGCGGUGGCGGUGUGGCCCUCUUGUCCUAACGUGAAACUUCCCCCUCCGGUGUUGGAUGUGUGCAGCGGCGAUGUUCUGCUCAAGGAGAGCCUCCGGCGUCUCGUUGGGGAUGCGCUGACCCUCUCUAUGUGGCCAUCUUCCCGCAGCAUCCAUCUCAUCUUGCGACGGUGCGGCACCUUCAAUCCAGGCAAGGAGGUAGUGGCCUUCUUCGAAGAUAAUGGACGGGAGUGCCGUGCCGGGGCCCGUAGGUGCAUGGCGACAACAUAUGCCCCGCUGGUGUCGCCCCCUCUCUCCUCCGAACCAGUGUGAUAUUGUUCCUGGUGCAGCAUUCUUGGAGGAGGUCCUCGUUGUCUUCGGUUUCGUUCUCUUUUGAUUAUCUCCAGUUUCCGUAGCGUGUGAGGAGUAGUUUGGUGUUGUCCAUCGUUUAUGUAUCUUACCACCGUGUUGUUCUUUCUUUUGCAUGAGGGCGUUUGUUUGUAAUCUGGCCAGUUGAUGGCUUUGUUAAUUCAAAAUCGGGCUAGGCUCGAGCCCCAUCUUGGGCUCGGCUGAUGCC